AUUGAUGCGUAAACACUCUAUAUUCUAGCUAAUGUAAUCAGCAGUUACACACAGAUCCUAUCAACCACCAGAGGACAAGUGGUGCACUUUAGAGGCACAUCAGAUCUACUCACCUGGACACCACAAUGCCCAUGGUUUUGGAUGGGAGUCAUUCGGGACCGAAGCUCUCUCUCUCUCUCUCUCUUCUAUGGGCCAAAAGGUCCUUAUUUUAGUGGGUUGCCGGGGUAAUGCGGGACUGUGAAGUGCUCUACAUGAGCAGGG